CAUUGAUCGUUACAUCGGUCUGAAUGCCCUCAGACAGCAUUCGACCAAGUAAUGCAAUAGCCAUAUGAUUAGACUGGCUACAUGUGAGCCCUCCACUCCAAAUCGAGCAAGGCUCUCCCCCCUGCGCUUUCCACAAGAGGCGGCGGCCAAAUCGUCAAUCCGCCACUGAGCGAGGCGCGACGUGGUGUCGACGCGGUAGGCAGCGGCGCCGGUCAUCCGGGAGAAGAGGAGCGCGACGGUGAUAUCAUGGAUGCAGUCCAAAAUACCUUCCAAGAAUUGAUCGGCGUGCUUUCCCAGCUUGGCUUGUCUCUGCUUUCCUCAUAUAUUUACUCACUUCUCACUCACACCUCUUUCAAUCUCUCUCUCUCACUUUAUCUAUGUGAGGGUAGAGAAAAUGGAUUUGUGAGAGCGAAGAGAGAUACUAGCCGGCACGCCAGGUUAUUGGUGAUCGUAACUUUUAUCAGUUCAGUGAUAGUGAAGUAUUUGCAGAGUUAUUAGCGUUUCCUCUGUUUCUUGAUUUUUGGAGAGAGAGAGAGAGAGAGAGUGGGGUUUGAGUUUGAUUGCUUUAGUUGAUUUGUUUGCUUGUACUACACUUGAGGUAGGUUGAUUGAUGAUUUAUUUAUAUAUUGGAGAAACUCCUGUUCCCUAAAUUGAGUGACAAUUGUUGUUCUUUUUAAUGCUCAGCCUAAA